rnacentral:lncRNA from 1 species
AUUUGCGACGAGUUUACUAGAGAAUUGCUACGCGCGUUUUGUCGCUAGGAUUUCUCUCGCAAAUUUGCGAGGCAUAGGGUACUCGCAAGUUAGUAGCAAAUUGCGACGGAGUUGUGAGCAAAUUGUUAGGAAUAUAGACCUCCUCGCAAAUCACUUGUAAAUUUGCUACGAAAUUGCAAUCAUUGAGUUUGUAGCAAAAUUUGCGAGGUUCUUGCGAUGUAAAUGCAAGUGCCACCAAAAAAACAUUUGUAACUUUUAAUUUGAUUCA